AUUAUUUCAGAUUGCUCCAGGCUCCAGAUGCUCCGAUCCAAAUCGAUCGACAGGUCACAAUCAAUUUAUACGAUUCCGGAUCUCGUGCAGCAAAUUGACACAAUUAUCCCUUUGUGUGGCACUCCACGCUCGCUGUACACACACACAUACGUACUGUACAUUUGUCGCGACAUAUUUACGGUAAAACAGUUAAGUUAAAUACGCGAGUAAACAACGUAAGACAGCCCGUGAGCUGACGGCCGCAGCGUCGCGUGUCGGUCGGUUUUUGCGAAACACUCUUGAAGUUAGGCGCUCGUUCCAACGCGGCGCAUUACCGACGCGGCGACGGACCGACGGAAAAAUUGGAGCUCCAUGUGACGGCAAUUUCACACCGCUACAUACGUGUGUGUUUAUACGUCCCUCAUAACCCUCAUCUUGUCAUCAACGCGCGCGCGAGAGAAAGAGAAGUUAUGUAGUGUUACCGUGAAUUUAAUCGUUGUUGAAAGACUAUUAAUUACUAUUGAAUAUUUUAAUUACUUCCAAACAUUUAUUAAUUCGUUGUCCAUCGCCCGUCGCUCGAUUACAAUUGUUCGAUUCGACAUUCUUGGUAUUACUCGCGUGUGAAAUACGCUUGAACGUCAAAAGUGAGGUUAUGAAUAUUAAAGUAUAUAAUAGUCGCGCGUUAUUCACUGUAAUCGCGUCACGCAACAAGUAUCGGGAGCCCAUCAUGGACUCAAUCAUUAAUUAGCGCACGCGAUUAUAAUUAGUUUCGUUUGAGCCUUAUCUACGUAAGUGAUUAUACGGAACACAAUGCGGAGCAGCUGACAAAAAACACGGCGCUGAUGGCAGAUUAACUGGAGCCGCCGUUUUUCACGGGAUCGCACGAUACUAGAAGUGUCAGAAGUGCCUGCAACGCUCUGCUAGCUAUCCAAGGGAGCCGAGUAAGAAGAUAUGGCUCAGCAGUUGGACCCCACCGGUCUCUACUGAAGACGUUUUUCUCCGCGAUCGAGCAACUACAUACUUCCGCUUUCAGUGUUGUUGAAGAUCAUUAUCGUCGACAUGGCAGCAGGAGGAUUGGACCCCACGGGUCUAUACUGAAGUGCCGUCGAAUAUAACUGCAUUUCUCAAGACUGUUUAUAUAUCCAUAUCUCCGAAGGCUUUCGAUUGACUUUCAAUUAAAAUUGUGCAACAUGGCUGGACUCGAUCCAACCGGUCAGUAUUGAAAAGGUGAAGAAAGGAUCAGAAGAAUCGAGGAAGUUAUAGGAAGGAGACCCGAGAGAUAUCUCAAGGUCGCGACAUGGCUGCUACCGGAGGUCUCGAUCCGACUGGACAGUACUAAAAUAUCAACGCCUCCGAAACUCGGAGGAAACAUCCUCAUAAAUCGAUAUUAUCGAUGAUGGAAGAAGUGAGAGGAAGAGAGGAAGUCUCAUCUUCCAACCUAAGGAGACUGAGAUGGAGCAUUCAUAUUCGCAAAGGACGACAUCGGACGUUCCUCGUAAAUGUGGAACGUCAUUGAAGAUGCCGAAUCUGCCUACGUACAGGGAAUCAACCAGCAACGACACCACUGCCGUCGAGUAUAACUUCAUCGUUUUCAUUUCCGACGACGAGGACAAUGAAGUCUAUUCGAGAAUGGAAGGAUCAGAAACUUUUCACUGCCAUGGAAAUUCGCCACCUAGUCGUUCCAUCUCUUUCUUCAUUUCGGUCUCUCGCGGAGACACGCACCGCGACUCUCGAGGGCGACAAAUACGGACACUCCGGAGGGAUCAUGUUUGUUUCUAUUGAUAUUCGCGAAUGUUCCGCGCACCGCCGUACACUGCCGAUGUAAUAAUCCCGAGAAGAUGCUAUUUUUUUAAAUUUAUAUAUUGUGCGUUAAGCGCGUUAAGACACGGUGGUCACGCGGAAACGCAGUGAAACGCGGCUGUCACAAGAAGGGUAAUACUUGGGCCUAUCGCCAAAAGAACUUUUCAAUAUCGCUUUAUUUUCAUUAUCACUGCUGUUGCUAUUAUUAGUCGCUACUUAUACUGCCUGUCACUGAUCGAGACACUUUGCGCGCACAACAACGCGCUGUUACCGUUAUCGCUACGCUAUCAACAUUGUUACGACUAAUAUGAUCACCGUUACUAUAUCUUUUUCCUAUUACUUCAAAUGUCGAUGAUAUCGUCGGGCAGCACACAUACUGAUUGGAAAAACAGUAAACAGAAUUGAUUAGGAAAAUCCCGUUUCCUCUCUUGGCGUGGCUCUUUAGUAUUCACGUUAUAUAAACUACCGAGAAUUAUGCAGAUAAAUUUAGACGAGAUAUUAAAUCACUUUGCUACUGUAAAUAAGAUCAGUCUGAAUCAUUUAUACAGAAUUUUAUAUUCAAUGAUUUUUAAUAUUACACAUACUGCGCUGAAAAAAAUUGAAAUUAAACAACAAACUUUAACGAAUUUCAGAAAAAUUAACGAGAAUCAGGAUUUGCUCCUUUUUAAGUAUACAUUAUUUUAAUAAUUUAUAAUAUUUAAACAUAAUUGGUAACAACUAUUGUUGAAAUCAUUGAAAAUUUCCAAUUAAGUUUAUUAGUUUUUGCCUAAGUAUCCGAUUAACAAAUUUAAAACGAAAAAUCAAUACACUAGCUGCGAUAAAUGCAGCAUGCCAUUUUCGCCUAUCAAAAUCUAAUUUCCGGACCAGUUUUCAAAAUUUUAAUGUAUUUUUUAAAUAAAUUUUACCGUUGUUUACGGGUUUAUAAUGAAUUUAAAAAUGAAGAUUUUUUUCCGAAAUCGAGGAUUUUACUCAAAGAUAACAUUUACGCGCGGAAAUCACCGUUUACACAGAAGAUACAUGAAUGUCCAACAAACUGAUCGUUUGCGCUUGUGCGACGUAUGGCGGUGUCCUUCGGGAAUCCGCGCGAAAUCGAUCAGACACCUUUACAAUUAUUAUCAGGAAGCGAUCGCAGUGCAUACGUUGGUCGCGCAUUGUUACACAUAACUUCUUUCCGUCGGCUAUGUCGUAACGCGCGAUUCGCGCGUUUCGAACCACGACGACCGCGUACUUUGCAUUCCUCGCAUAUAUCGACUCGCUUGGUGCUCGAGCUCAUUGCAACUCGCUCUUGCACACGAGCACGUACGAGCGCGCGCGCGCACACACCACACACACACACACACACACACACACACACCAACACCGACCGAAGCGCUUAGCCGCGCUUCUGCGCGAGCUGGAGCGCGUGUUCUUCACCUACGUAUAUAUGUACGA